CGCGAAGAACCUUACCUGGUCUUGACAUGUACGGAAUCCUCCAGAGACGGAGGAGUGCCUUCGGGAGCCGUAACACAGGUGCUGCAUGGCUGUCGUCAGCUCGUGUCGUGAGAUGUUGGGUUAAGUCCCGCAACGAGCGCAACCCUUGUCAUUAGUUGCCAUCAUUAAGUUGGGCACUCUAAUGAGACUGCCGGUGACAAGCCGGAGGAAGGUGGGGAUGACGUCAAGUCCUCAUGGCCCUUAUGACCAGGGCUUCACACGUCAUACAAUGGUCGGUACAGAGGGUAGCCAAGCCGCGAGGCGGAGCCAAUCUCACAAAACCGAUCGUAGUCCGGAUUGCACUCUGCAACUCGAGUGCAUGAAGUCGGAAUCGCUAGUAAUCGCAGGUCAGCAUACUGCGGUGAAUACGUUCCCGGGUCUUGUACACACCGCCCGUC
rnacentral:rRNA from 1 species